rnacentral:rRNA from 1 species
GACGUAGGGCGCGAGCGUUGUCCGGAUUUAUUGGGCGUAAAGAGCUCGUAGGCGGCUUGUCGCGUCGUCCGUGAAAACUUGGGGCUCAACCCCAAGCUUGCGGUCGAUACGGGCAGGCUAGAGUUCGGUAGGGGAGACUGGAAUUCCUGGUGUAGCGGUGAAAUGCGCAGAUAUCAGGAGGAACACCGGUGGCGAAGGCGGGUCUCUGGGCCAUAACUGACGCUGAGGAGCGAAAGCAUGGGGAGCGAACAGG